UUUCAAAUAGUGCAAUUCAACAAGCUUUUUAUUUCAAAAACAUUUGGCAUUAUUUUACUUCCAUAGGCACGCACUGAAUGCACUUGAGGCACUUCUCUAACGGUCGUGGACUUCUCAACUCGAGCAAAGCGAGCGAAGUUUGGCCACAGCACUCCUGACCUCUACCCAAGGCGCCAUAGCAGUCCUGAGCUCAACCCAAGAGACAAUAGCAGGUACAUUAUCACUGAGGCACAUCAGCUCUGAGAUUCAUCCAUUAAGGCAUGCCAGCAGUGAGAUCCACACAUCAAGCAACACCAGCACUGAGAUGAAGUCAUGCCAGCUCUGAGAUCCAUAGACCAAGCCAUGCUGCACCUUCUCUAGUCCCAUCAAAGCAUACUGAGCCACACCAGGGAGCAGACAUCUAGUUUGCAAACAUCGGCUGUGAGGCGUAACCGUCUGAUGUCUGCGGCCACAGAUAAGGACAUUGAUUCCACCAUCAAAAGAUUGCUAUAUCUGGCCCCAGAUAGUGAUGGUGGCAGGAGAGAGAGGAUGAAGAGAAAAGAGCGUCAGGAGAGUACAACAGGUUAACGGACUUGCGACUUGUUUUAAUGUUCAAGAGUUGUGUGCACAGUGCCACUUGUUCAUGAACUGAAACUUAGAUGUUCAAGAGCUGUGUGAAACAUGGCACUGACAUUCAAGCAUUGUUUUUUGUUGUUUUGUUAAAAUGUGAAACAAUAAAUAUUUUUUCAGAAUACUAUUGUUGUUCAGGCAUUUUUCAUUUGGGCCAAGGGUGUGUAUAAAGUGGCUAGAUUAAGGUUUUGUUGAGGCUGACAUGUGGAACCAAAUGUUUGGUCCUGAAUAGUACCAGAAUAGGGCCAGCUAUAGUCACACAUUAGGCUGAAAUAUGGCUAUGCCAUGGGCCAUAUGUGGCCCGAGUUCUGGCAACCAGACCUGGUCCAGUCAUGUACCGUAAUUCACUGCUGUAUUUGGGCCAAGAGAAAGUGGGUUGUGUGGCCCAUCACUGGGCCAAACCAGUUUUGCUAUGUGGGAAGCUGCUGUAGCCUUAAAAGGUAAGUUAUAUCGUGUUUUUUUUUUUAAUGUAUAUAACUUUAUAACAUUACAAGUCUCUUAUGAGAUUUUGAAGAACCGAUUGAAUGAGUAUCAAAGAGCUGUUAAAUUGGCUAGAUCAAAUUAUUUCUCUGUCAUCAUCUCCAGAAACUGUAAUAAUUCUAGAGUACUUUUCUCUACUGUAAAUGCUGUUCUUCAUCCUACUGCUACUCCUGCACUCGCUCCUUCUGCUGACAUGUGUGAAGAGUUUUUAAACUUUUUUAUUGGUAAGGUUGAUGGAAUUAGAUCUCUA